GAGGGGGUGAGGGGGUGACAGGGUGAGGGGGUGACAGGGUGAGGGGGUGAGGCCUGAUCCUAAAGUUCUGGAACCUUCCCUUCUACUGUGAACACAUCUGACCAACAUCUCACCCCAGACUGUGUGGACCAGGACGCUGCAGAACUGACGGCUGUGAUGGUCAGGCUGCUGGUCUUUGUGCUCUGUCCUGCGGAGGUCUGGGGCGGGGACCGCGGCAGGGUUCCUGCGGAGGUCUGGGGCGGGGACCGCGGCAGGGUUCCCGGUUUGAUGGUGACCACGGAGCCGCGGCGUCCGUCGGAGGAGCCUUUGAAGCGCGGGCCCAGGUGGAU